GAUGAACGCUUGCGGCGUGCUUAACACAUGCAAGUCGAGCGAAGCACCUUGACGGAUUUCUUCGGAUUGAAGCCUUGGUGACUGAGCGGCGGACGGGUGAGUAACGCGUGGGUAACCUGCCUCAUACAGGGGGAUAACAGUUGGAAACGGCUGCUAAUACCGCAUAAGCGCACAGUACCGCAUGGUACGGUGUGAAAAACUCCGGUGGUAUGAGAUGGACCCGCGUCUGAUUAGGUAGUUGGUGGGGUAACGGCCUACCAAGCCGACGAUCAGUAGCCGACCUGAGAGGGUGACCGGCCACAUUGGGACUGAGACACGGCCCAAACUCCUACGGGAGGCAGCAGUGGGGAAUAUUGCACAAUGGGGGAAACCCUGAUGCAGCGACGCCGCGUGAGCGAUGAAGUAUUUCGGUAUGUAAAGCUCUAUCAGCAGGGAAGAAAAUGACGGUACCUGACUAAGAAGCCCCGGCUAACUACGUGCCAGCAGCCGCGGUAAUACGUAGGGGGCAAGCGUUAUCCGGAUUUACUGGGUGUAAAGGGAGCGUAGACGGCAUGGCAAGCCAGAUGUGAAAGCCCGGGGCUCAACCCCGGGACUGCAUUUGGAACUGUCAGGCUAGAGUGUCGGAGAGGAAAGCGGAAUUCCUAGUGUAGCGGUGAAAUGCGUAGAUAUUAGGAGGAACACCAGUGGCGAAGGCGGCUUUCUGGACGGUGACUGACGUUGAGGCUCGAAAGCGUGGGGAGCAAACAAGAUUAGAUACCCUGGUAGUCCACGCCGUAGACGAUGAAUACUAGGUGUCGGGUGGCAAAGCCAUUCGGUGCCGCAGCAAACGCAAUAAGUAUUCCACCUGGGGAGUACGUUCGCAAGAAUGAAACUCAAAGGAAUUGACGGGGACCCGCACAAGCGGUGGAGCAUGUGGUUUAAUUCGAAGCAACGCGAAGAACCUUACCUGGUCUUGACAUCCCUCUGACCGCUCUUUAAUCGGAGCUUUCCUUCGGGACAGAGGAGACAGGUGGUGCAUGGUUGUCGUCAGCUCGUGUCGUGAGAUGUUGGGUUAAGUCCCGCAACGAGCGCAACCCCUAUCUUUAGUAGCCAGCAUUUCGGAUGGGCACUCUAGAGAGACUGCCAGGGAUAACCUGGAGGAAGGUGGGGAUGACGUCAAAUCAUCAUGCCCCUUAUGACCAGGGCUACACACGUGCUACAAUGGCGUAAACAAAGGGAAGCGAGCCCGCGAGGGGGAGCAAAUCCCAAAAAUAACGUCUCAGUUCGGAUUGUAGUCUGCAACUCGACUACAUGAAGCUGGAAUCGCUAGUAAUCGCGAAUCAGAAUGUCGCGGUGAAUACGUUCCCGGGUCUUGCAC
rnacentral:rRNA from 1 species